CCUCCUUGGUUGUUUGCAACUGAUCGGUAUCCUGUCAGAGGGCGUAUCAAUUCAUACUCGAGACCAGAGUAUUUGCUAGACCUUGUUGAAGUCCACAACAAUAAACGUGUUAUACUGCGAUUCAAAGUUUUCUUUGGGACAAGAAAUAUGUAGACAAACUAGUCACGAAGGAUGGACAAUUGACAUCCGAACUUGUAGACAAAUAUGUAUUUGAUUUGAUGUGGAGAUCUACGACAGACUAUGUCUCUUUUUGUCAACAACCUGUACUCUUAUAUUCA
rnacentral:lncRNA from 1 species